rnacentral:lncRNA from 1 species
UUUGGAUCUCUUGGUUGCAUUGCACUGCUCAGAAGCAAUAAGUUACAUUAAAUAAAUCUGCCGGAUCUUAUCGUACAUUCACUGGCACCAUUUUAUUCUCUAGCCAUGUUUGUGAUGAUGAACGUUUGGUAUAGGAGAUUGAACAUUGCUAGGGUCGUAGCGAUGGAGUUUUCUUCCACCCGCUAGUAAUUGGGGCCCACCGUGUCCUGCAAACGAUAAGAUAAAACCCUUAGCUGCAUGAAAAGGAAGGAGGCAGGUCACUCAACCGUCUUCCACCAUUUACAUAUAUAUGAAAAAAAGGUCCAUCUGUAUUUUUAUUUAUUUUAAAUUUCAAAAAAUGGGGAAAAAAAGAAAUAAAAUAUAUGGACUAGAGAGAGAGCAUCCAUAUUUUUAUUUUUAAAAAAAUUUCGAAAAUGUCCAUUGUAUUGGGGAUGGGAAUAAGAGAUAAAAUGAGUUGUUUUUUUUGAAAAAAGAAAAACUUUUUUUUUUUGUCGUUUUUUUUGGGGGGGGGGGGGGGUAAGUUAACCCCACCCGAGAUUAACUAGUUUCGGAUCUCUAUGAAAAACUGUGUACAUGAGAAAAAUAGAGAAGAAUGAACAAAUAAGGAUGCACACUGAUUAUGUAUAGUUAUUUUUUUUUUUGUAGAUAUUCGUAAAUAGAGGAAGCAAGAAUUAAUAUUUUAGCCACAAAAUUUGAUAGAUGAAAUCUAAAAAAGCAAAUUUUUUUUCUCAUAUAAUAAUAUUAAAUCAACAAAUGUAAAUUUUAUCAUCCUAACUUAAUCAUUAACAUUUAUGCUCAAAUUCUAUUGGUGUAAAAUACAUGGGAGAAUUUCAACUUAUCCUAUAAAAUCUAAAAUACUUGCUAUCACCCUUGGAGCCACGACAUAUUCUAGUGGUUCAUUGCCCAUCGCUCGAACUUAGAAUACUUGAAGUUUGCUAGUUCAUGCACAAAUUGGCCACCAAAUGGAUAUUUAUGAAUAGCAAGAUUAUUUGUUAGAAUUAACUUAACAUUUUUAUUGUCAAAGUAGGAAAAGAGUUAACUUGUUCUUUGGAAUAUCUACAAGCUGAUAGACAACAUGCAGACCAUGACCAUUGACCAUUAUUGUGUUUUGGGUUGACAAACUUCAUGCAUGUGUGGCACAACUAAGAAUUUAGGUACUCUUCUACCAUAGAAUUUGUCUAUCAUUCAGCUGCUCCAUUUAUUGUUUAACUACGCAAGGCAAUUUGUUUUUAUUAGGGACUCGUUUGGUUCGCAAAAAGAAUUUACCUCACUGAAAUAUUUUGUCUAAUAUUUGAAAAAGUGAUUUUUGCGAGUUUAGUUGACCAUAAAAAAAUGGCAUAUUUCAGAAUAGUUUAUAUUUGGUUGAGCAUCUACUUUUUUAGUAAAAUUGCAUAAAAUACCUGUUAUACCCUUAAUAAAAUAAAAGAUCCGAUCUCGUUCUAUCUAAAAGCUUAAGGACGCUUUUGGGGGAAAAAAUUCUAAUUUCUAGCCCGUAUGAAUUGGGAUUUCUUAUAUCCUAUAUGAAUUUUUCUUUCUCAUGAAAGUUACUUUGCCGUCUCUUUUAUUUUUUUUAAAAAACUCAAAGUAAAUAUAAGACAUUUUUUCAUUUUUUCGUUGACCACACUUUUUUCUUUUUUUUUCCUGCAAACCAAACAAAUUCUAAAUGCACAAUCUCUGCUUCAUAUAGGUAAUCACAUGCUUCAUACAGCUUCAAUUUCAUUGCCUUGUAGGUGCCUAUGUAAAAGGGAUGCAUUCUUGCUUUCUGCUCUUUCCUCAACAAGAAUUAAGAAGAUUCUUCAGAGAGAUUAAUGAUAAAAGAAGAAAGAUAUCAUGAUAACAACAAUAACACCAUCCAAAGUACUUUCUUUUUUUCUUUUUUUUUUUGAGCAAGGGAAUUUUCAUCGUGAAAACAAAUAUAACAAGGUAGAGUAACUUGUACCAUGGACGGAAAGGAGGGGCAUGGCUCUUGAAUCAGCUCCAAUUGAACAAGCAAGAAGCACCACAAGGAACAACACCAUGUAACCACUUCCCUUAUCCAUUGUGUUAUUUGUGGCGCUUCCU